AUUUAUAUAGUAUAUAAAGUAUAUUUGACUUCCAAUCAUAAGGUUUAAUAAUAAAAUUAAUAUAAAUA
rnacentral:tRNA from 1 species